GUCAGUGUUAUAAUGGUGAAUCGGGAUUUUUAAUAAAGUGGGUUUGAUUACUCUUGACUGUUUUUGUGAAAUUGAAUUACGUCUGUGAUGAAGAAUUAAAAGGAUGUCUAUAGGAUUGAGUAUGCGGAGUGAAUGAAAUUUAUUGGGUUAAUCUAACAAGACAAUUAGUGGAUACAAGAUCGUGAGUAUAAAGCGGUAUCAAAGAUUAGCAGUUUGGAUUGUUCGGGGUUCUCUGUAACGUCUAGAGACCUAUCGGCUGGGGCAAAAAGGACUUCGACAAGUAGUCGAAGGGCAUCCGUAUAGAUUUACGGUGUAUUCUUGCAGUCGUUUAUAUU
rnacentral:lncRNA from 1 species